rnacentral:rRNA from 1 species
UACAGAGGUCCCGGGCGUUGUUCGGAUUCAUUGGGCGUAAAGGGUGCGUAGGCGGCGGGGUUAGUUUGAUGUGAAAUCCCGGGGCUCAACCCUGGAAUUGCAUUGAAUACUACCUUGCUAGAGUACCGGAGAGGAAACUGGAAUUUACGGUGUAGCAGUGAAAUGCGUAGAGAUCGUAAGGAAGACCAGUGGCGAAGGCGAGUUUCUGGACGGUAACUGACGCUGAGGCACGAAGGCCAGGGGAGCAAACGGG